AUUGUAACUACUUAUCAAAUUAUGAAUCACUAAUUAUGUAAAAUAGAAAAUAUAUAUAGGCCUAAUAAAUGACAACAUUACUGUUAUACAACACCGAUUGAUGAUCGAGGUAGGCCUACUGGAGCAUAUGAUUACAAUUUAGUAAAUUAACAAUUAACGCAAAUGAAAUUGUAGGCCUACAAACCUCUCACAAACCAACAAUUUCAGAAGAAGAAUAAAGGCAGCAAUUAUUUUGCAAUAAUAUAUUUAUAUCAAGGAGGAGGAGGAGGCCAAAAUGCUUAUAUGAUGUGUUUCAAAAUGUUUGCAAACUUAAUAAUAUAUUUGAUACCUUAACUAUGAAUGUGGUCCACUUUAGCAGUCAAAAUGUAAUGAGUGUGUGAUAGUUGAUAAUGAAUUAUAGAAUUAAUAAGGACUAGGCAUAAAGCUAUAGUCAAAAAAAAAAAAUGCCAACCGACCGAUUUUAAUUUAACAAUUUUAAAAUUAUAAAAAAUGUUCACAAAUAGGAACAGUUCCAUUAAUGCCCAUUCCUUUUUUACACUGGAAUUGUUAAUAAGAAUGAUCAGCAUGACCUUAUUUUAUUGUAUACAAUGCGUUAACCGCAGUCUAGUCAUAAUUCGCUGGAUUUGGAGUCGCGUACAGUAUUAGUUAAAUCAUAGACAUGGUCACCUUAUAUGCAGAAUCAUACUUUUAUAAUCACAUAUCAAAUUGAUCUUCAUAUCAUAGUAAACUCAGCCCUCUCUUAUACAUAUCUAAAUGAUAAUCAGGGGAGGAUUUAGAGAGGCCGGGCCAGCCUUGGCCUCCCUACUCCACCCCCCCCCCUUUUUUUUUGGAAGGGUAAAAAAGAAUAAAAAGAAAAAAAAAAGAAAAUUUCUACAACACAAACAUUUCGCGGAGGCAUGCCCCCGGCCCCACUUUCGGCCCCCGCCUUUUGGACACCUCUGAAUCCGCCCCUGAUAAUAAUAACUAAAAUGAAUUAGACUGAUUAACGAUAAUAUUUGCCUGUGAUAUUAUAUUUGAUUAAUUGAUUUAUGCAAUUAAUAUAAUCUCUGUAAUAUUGAGUUGUUUAUAAAAUUUUAUAUACUUAUUCAUAAAUAGCUAGUCAUAUUUUAUACUCAUUGUGUCAUCCUAAUCCAACAAGCACAGGCAUUUUCUACCCCAAAUAUAUAUACAUAGGUCCCUACGUAUAUAUAUAUGUAUAUUAUACGCAUUACAGUCUUACCAUACAUCAUUAUCUACGAAACACUUAUUUAGCCGGCAAUUCAAUAACAGUAACACAACCUUAAACAGCGUUUGAGUAAAUUUAAUACAUUUUCGACAAUAACUAGCCUAUAGUAUCUUGAAUGUUAAGUGGCAGGAUGAGGUGAAUGAGUUAUCAGUUACACAUAAUCACAGAUACUGUAUCAGUUAUCGAAAUACUCGAAAUAAAAAAAAAGGGUAUCCUGAUUAUUCACCGUCAAGCACACUUGUUCUGCUGCAACUUCACGAAAAUGUUGUAGAAGAUCUUCAGAUUAUUGAUCAAUCAACGAACUUCAAUUCAACACAUAAAGUUUGAUGCUGGGCUAUUUAGAUUCAAGAGAUUGAUCGGGUCAGUUUUGUCUCGCUUCAAUACUGAAUAUGAUUUGGAGGAGCUGCUGAAAUUCGGAGAAGGCCGACAUUUUGUGUCAGCUUCUCGGACUUACGAGCAAUCAGUGGAGAAAACAAAAGCCAACAUAAAAUGGAUGAAAGCCAACGCGGUUGCUGUGAAAGAAUGGCAAGAAAACGUGAAUUGUCUCGAUAGGGAGUGGAUUUGUUUAAGUCGGAGGAAAGAUUGUGAUGUCACAUGAAUUGAACCCAUGACCCUGGGAUUGGAAGGCAGUGAUCUUAACCACUAAGCUAUUCAACUAAAAAUUUGAAAAUUUCUAUAUAAUAAAUCCCAGAUUUAACCUAAAAGGGGGUUACUGAUAAGAAAUAUAAAUAUAGGCCUACCUGAUUAAUAUAAAACCUUUAUACGUUGCCGUUAACUGUUAUCGCUAGUGUUCUGUUUUAUGUUUAAUUAUUGUACACUAGGUUCUUUAAUGGCUUCAGAACCAAGUCGUGUUAAUAGUAGUUCAUACAUUUAUUUUAUCCUCAUAUGUGAUAAUAAAUUAUGAAUCGGUGAAUAUUGAAACUUUGUGAUAUAUGUCUAUAUUUGAAGAUUUAUAUCAUCAGAGAAGUUAGGCCUCCAUUUUGACUUACGAUGUUACUUAGAUGAUGGUUGUGUUUAAAUAAAUAUUUACCAAAGCACGGUU
rnacentral:misc_RNA from 1 species